rnacentral:rRNA from 1 species
GCCCGCUCAGAACUCAAAGGAAUUGACGGGGCCCGCACAAGCGGAGGAACAUGUGGUUAAUUCGAUGAUACGCGAGGAACCUUACCUGGGCUUAAAUGUAGAGUGCAUGAUGUGGAAACAUGUCUUCCCUUCGGGGCUCUCUGCAAGGUGCUGCAUGGUUGUCGUCAGCUCGUGCCGUGAGGUGUCGGGUUAAGUCCCAUAACGAGCGCAACCCUUAUCGUUAGUUGCCAGCGGGUAAUGCCGGGAACUCUAACGAAACUGCCGGUGUAAACCGAGAGGAAGGUGGGGAUGACGUCAAAUCAGCACGGCCCUUAUGUCCAGGGCUACACACGUGUUACAAUGGCCGGUACAGAGGGCAGCUACCUGGAGACAGGAUGCGAAUCUCGAAAGCCGGUCUCAGUUCGGAUCGGAGUCUGCAACUCGACUCCGUGAAGCUGGAUUCGCUAGUAAUCGCGCAUCAGCCAUGGCGCGGUGAAUACGUUCCCGGGCCUU